rnacentral:lncRNA from 1 species
AAAAGAGAGAAAUUCUAGAAAUUCUCAUAAAAAAGCAAAACAUCCGACCAUCAAUCGAUAGAUUGAAAUCAUCAUAGCCUUUGGAUCUAUUAUGUUUUCUAAACAAUUACCCACCUAUGCCAUUACGUAAAUAGCCUAAAGUAACCCCCUAAAUCUACAUAUAAAUUACCCACCUCUGCCAUUAUAUAAAAUAAACUAAAGUAACC